rnacentral:rRNA from 1 species
GGAUGAGCCCGCGGCCUAUCAGCUUGUUGGUGGGGUAAUGGCCUACCAAGGCGACGACGGGUAGCCGGCCUGAGAGGGCGACCGGCCACACUGGGACUGAGACACGGCCCAGACUCCUACGGGAGGCAGCAGUGGGGAAUAUUGCACAAUGGGCGAAAGCCUGAUGCAGCGACGCCGCGUGAGGGAUGACGGCCUUCGGGUUGUAAACCUCUUUCAGCAGGGAAGAAGCGAAAGUGACGGUACCUGCAGAAGAAGCGCCGGCUAACUACGUGCCAGCAGCCGCGG